UGGACUUUUAUCUUAUUCAUUUAUUUAUAUGCAGUGCUGAGAAUCGAACCCAGUGUGUCACACAUGUGAGACACGCACUCUACCAUUGAGCCAUAACCCCAGCCCCUUCCUUUCAUUCUUGUAACCACCAUUAUGAAGAGGAUGAAAUAGAUCUCACAAUCUCCAUUUGGCAGAGGGGAAAAAUAAGGCUGAUACAGGUAUAAAAAUUUUCCCAGGUCCACACAGCUGGGGUUAGUGCCUCAGUCUCCUAAUUCCCAAAAUAAGACCCUGCUGAUCUAACAGUAUUCAGAGCCAAUAGAAAGAGCCUAACAACUGUCUCCAAGGAGCCUGAAGAAAAUAACUUAAAGCUAGCAAGGUAACAGUGGGGGUAUGAAUGCUCUCUUAGUCUCCCAUGAGGGUGAUCUUGAAAAGCAGGACUUCAUCAGAUAUGAAAAUUCCCCUCCUGCCAUGCUGGCCAACUGGCCAAGCUGGGCUCAACUAAUUGUCCCACCAAGGAAAUGCCAGGUUUAUGUUUCAAUAAGACACAGCAUCUCAGUUCCAAUUACCCUAAAUAUGGGAAGUAUGGGAAUCUAGGAGGCCAUUCAGCCUCUUUGGGAAUUAACCAAGCCUAAUUCAUAAGGGUGUUGUUAACUAGGACAACACUGAUAAUAAUGGGGCCCUUGAGAUUUAGCUUAACUAGACCCUGAAUCUAGGGGUCCUCAGCUCAUAGGAGCCUAUUAUGGUACUACCCUUGCACUUCUUAAGUGGGC
rnacentral:lncRNA from 1 species